GACGAACGCUGGCGGCGUGCCUAAUACAUGCAAGUCGAGCGGUAAGGCCCCUUCGGAGGUACACGAGCGGCGGACGGCCGAGUAACACGUAGGAACGUACCCCAAAGUGAGGGAUAAGCACCAGAAAUGGUGUCUAAUACCGCAUGUGGCCCACGGGCUAAAGCUCCGGCGCUUUGGGAACGGCCUGCGUAUGAUUAGAUAGUUGGUGAGGUAAUGGCUCACCAAGUCGACGAUCAUUAGCUGGUCUGAGAGGAUGACCAGCCAGACUGGGACUGAGAACGGCCCAGACUCCUACGGGAGGCAGCAGUAGGGAAUUUUCCACAAUGGGCGAAAGCCUGAUCCAGCCAUGCCGCGUGCGGGAUGAAGGCCUUCGGGUUGUAAACCGCUUUUGUUAGGGAAGAAACCUUUUGAGCUAAUACCUCGGAAGGAUGACGGUACCUAAAGAAUAAGCACCGGCUAACUA
rnacentral:rRNA from 1 species